rnacentral:sRNA from 1 species
ACCGCCUCAGUGAAACAAGCUGGCAGCACUAUGGGAUGCCAAGUCUGCUCCUGCGAUCGCCCACCUCCUAACACCACGCCAAGGGUUGCCCACCACUCUAGAAAGAUAGGUUCAAACUCUCCCUGAGGAAGACCCCAAUCUGACCCUGGACUAAAGAGAGAAAGAAGGGCCUGAGGGACAACCUUUCUUAUCAUGAACUGAAACCCACAAUCCAGUUCUUCUUUUUUUUUUUUUAAACUAAAUUGCUAAUUUAAUAGGAUUUACAGAAUGUGGGCUUUUCUGAUUCUCUUGCUUUCCAUAUUCUUAGUCAACAGUCUUCUAUACAGUAGAACAGCCAUCAUUUGGACCUAUUUGGCUUCCUUAAGAUACAUUUUUAGGAAGAUUUUGGGAAGUUUGGAUGUUUAAUUUGCUCCUCAAACACAAUUUUCAAACUAGGAAGUGAGUGUUCUAUGACUUCAAAUGAGAACUCGCUCAACAGAUUUUUUUAAAAACGCUUUUGAGUCAUUCAAAAGCUGUUUCUACCUCCUUCUUUGCAGGUCUCAGAAUUCCUGGGAGGCCUUUUGUUUUCCUAAUGAGAAAUGGUGGAGCAGUGGAUGUGCUGACACUGUCUCUCCUCUUGCUGUGCCUUCCAUGCAGAUGCCUGAAGCCUUGGAGGAGCUGAAUGGUAGAGUUUCCUGUGUCUUCCAGUGGAGAAGAAAACACCAUCCAGAAUCCUUGCUCAAUCACAGAUGAGUGCUUGACACAAGUGUCAUGUUGUCUGUCAUCUGACCCAUGGGGGCUUCCUCCUCCCUUCACCUUCUUUCCCUGAUGUCGGAAGUCCUGGGGUGCUAAACCCUGCCUGUGCGUCUUCUGCCAAGCUGUUGACUGUUGGCAUCUUUAUUCACCACCAGCCCAGAUCUUUAUUUUUCUUUGCACGUGCUUUCAAUUCCCAUGAUCCUUCUGUAUCCUGCUUACUGAGGCCUUUAGUGCCCCAUUUUCCCCAAUAUGUCCCACAAUCCAGUUCUUUAAAGUCCUUUGGAAAUUUCCUGGCAAAACCAGGUAGUAUAAAGCCAGGCACAGGUAAUAUCACCUAUAAGUGAACAGUAUUUAUCAGCAUCUUAAAGCCUGAAUUUCAGUAGCCCAUUACUGCUGGGACAGGAUGUAGGAAUAAGGCAACCAAAUACUUUUCCUCCAGGCUAGCAGUUUCCCACCUGUAAGCACGAGCCUUCAGGAGAGAGAUGGCUCACAUUGCUCUCCUGUGAGUCUGGGUCUUGGACCAGGCAGGCUAUGGUGGGGCGGUGGGGGGCUUGGAGUUGCCACCUAGGGGCCAUUUGAAUGACAAGACUGGCUCUUAUGGAGUGACCACCAAAAGAACUACUUAUUGGGGGGAAGCUAGAGAUCCACCGGUGUGUUAGGCCCUUGCCUCUAACCCUCACACCACCUGCAUCCUGAGGACCGAGGGAGCCUGUGACCUCUGCCCUCUGUUCUUGCCCAGGUUCUUGGAGUGGGGACAAGUUUAACGAUGACUUUAGCACCCCUCCAGCUAGGCAGGUUAGGAGAUUCCAAUCUCUCUCACAGCCAAGGAAACCAAGUGGGGAGGGAUCUUUCUCUGCAGCUACAUAAUCCUGGAUUACAGUGAUAACCCCUUCAUCUCAGGUAAACGGAUCAAGGAAAAGGACUGGAGACAGACCUGACAAGCUCUGGGCUGCAGGCAGGGAAGGGAAAGUAGGCAGCAUGCAAAAGGGGUCGCUUUGACAGUCAAGGACAGACAUUACUACUGCUGCCCUGAGAAGUGUGGAGGAAGAGUGGGUCUGAACUGGCUGUAGAUCGAGGGUUUGUGAAGGCACACCCUUCUUCAGUCCAUAGGCCACCCACAGAAUGAAACCUAAAGAAGGGGUUUGCAGUGUGCUCCAGGAAUCCUCACCCCUGGACUAUCCCUGCCCACAAGUGUCAUCUGGUGAGUGCCCUCAGGGGUAAGUCUCAGUUUCUUCAAAGGCUAACAAGGGCUCAGCUGUUAGAAAUAGUCCCUCCAAAGACAGUAAAUUCCACAAAUGUUAGCCCGCAUUACUGUUGUGUCUAUUAUUAGUCCUAGUGUUACUCCCACCCCUUCGCUCUGGGUCGGGGAUCCCUGCACAUGAACUAAGGUCAUCUGCCAGUGAGGCUACACUGCGGCUGGCAAGGAGAAGCCAUGGAUAGAAGUGAAGUCGGGGGGAGCUUGAGAGGGCUUACUGGGUUUGCUCCAGACCUGCAAAAGCCUUUGAUGGGCUCUGUGGAAAAGGUGACUCCCACAGCACAGGGGGCAGGAAGAUGCUGGCAGGGAGCAGAGGAAAGCCAAUGCCCUUCUCUACACAGAGGAGGAAGAAAGGGCUCCUAAGAAAAGGCCAUUGGCAGGUCAGAACUUAACACCAGUAAUGUAUCCUUCCAGAGAGGGCAGACCAGCUUUGUGCCACGUUCCCAAAGAAUGAAGAUACAUUCCUCACUGAGGCCCAGGACACGACCAGUUGUAUUCCUGUACUACCCCCAAGGAGUUCCACACCCAAGCCCAGUAGCUUCACAAUAACCCUAUGGACUAGAAGGUAACUAUGACGUCUCCAUUUCUCCUGUUAAAAGAGGUAGAAGCCUGCGCAGGGGAAGAGGCCUCCAGGACACUGAGCAGAUGGGGAACUGAAGCAUAGAGAAAUUACAUCACAUAGAUGCCACAGGGGGAGCCAAGUUUGUAACCAGAACCUUGCCAUUCCAAGCCAGGACUCUUCAAGGACAGUGAGCCUUUAACUGCACGCCCUGGUUCUCAGAUCAUCUGGAGCAGCGGUUCUUGGCAUCACAGGAUUUCAUAUCAGACAUACUGCAUAUCAGACAGAUAUUCAUAUUACGAUUCGUAACAGUAGCAAAAUUACAGUCAUGAAGUUGUAUCGAAAAUAAUUUUGUGGUUGGAGAUCACCACAUGAGGAACUGUAUUAAAGGGUCGCAGCAUUAGGAAGAUUGAGAACCACUGAUGUAAAAUGUACUAGGUUUCUCUUUGCAGCCCAGCUACCUCUUCUCUGAGAUCCAAUCCAGAAGCCCAGGUUGUAAUAUGAGCUUUCAGAAAAAUUGGCGGGUAAACUCUGGAACUAUGCUCUAGAAUUGUCCGUAGACCUUAAGGAGUGAGAUCGUCCCCCUGAAGGCCUCCGGACGAUCUUCCUGGAAGACCUCGUAUCUCCUAGCACGGAUGCUCUAACUCAGAAAAAACCUGGAAUAAAAAUGGACGGGGAGGGCGGGCCUCCUCGACCCUUCCAGCUCUGUGGCGGCGGGAAGUCGGGUCUCCCUGGGUGUGCCCCGCCAACCCGCCCGGCUCUUCACCGU